rnacentral:rRNA from 1 species
AGCGAACGCUGGCGGCAUGCCUAACACAUGCAAGUCGAACGGGGGUAGCAAUUCCCUAGUGGCGGACGGGUGAGGAAUACGUAGGAAUUUGCCCUUAAGUGGGGGAUAACCCGGGGAAACCCGGACUAAUACCGCAUGAUCUCGUGAGAGCAAAGCAGGGGACCGCAAGGCCUUGCGCUUUUGGAGAAGCCUACGUCGGAUUAGCUAGUUGGUGGGGUAAUGGCCCACCAAGGCUCCGAUCCGUAACUGGUCUGAGAGGAUGAUCAGUCACACCGGAACUGAGACACCGUCCGGACUCCUACGGGAGGCAGGAGUAGGGAAUAUUUGACAAUGGGCGAAAGCCUGAUCCAGCAAUGCCGCGUGUGUGAAGAAGGCCUUCGGGUUGUAAAGCACUUUAGGCUGGAAAGAAAAAGCUUUGGCUAAUAUCCAAAGCCUUGACGGUACCAGCAGAAUAAGCACCGGCUAACUCUGUGCCAGCCGCCGCAGUAACAC